rnacentral:tRNA from 1 species
GGGUAUUUAGCUCAGGGGUAGAGCGCUGCAUUCACAUUGCAGAGGCCGCUGGUUCAAAUCCAGCAAUACCCA